UGAGUUUAGAUAUGAGCACGUGUCAUGCUCUGAUUAAUUUGAAGAAACAACAAAGCCAAAAAAAAAACCUCUCUCUUUUUUUUUUUAUUUCUCUCUCGACCUUUUUCUCUCUCUCUUUUCCUCGAAACCAAAACGGCGAAAUCCUGCUCUGAGGCUGUUGAUCCGACGAAUUGAGAGGAGAUAUGAGAUGGAAUUGCGUGUUUCAUCUCACGUAAUCAGAGCUUCUCGGUGGCGUCUCUCUAUCCCUGCAAUUCUCGAAGCUUCCGCCGGAGAAAUCGAGCCGACUCGUCGUCAUCCGUCGAACUGAGAGGAGAAAUGAGUGGGGAUUGCGUUUUUGAUCUGUCUGUAUCAUGAUCUACAUGAGAAAGGGAGAAUUUCAACUCACUGGUCAACAUAGCAACAUAAGUUGAAGUGGAAACCACAGCUUUUGGAGCUUACUGCAGCCAGAGUUGAAGUGCAGGAGAAACAAGUGGAGUUGUGAUAAUGAGCAAGGACAAGUUGCUUCACUAGCAACACGUGAAGCAAAAAGACAAGUUGAUAAGAAGGGGACAUGUUGAAGAGGACAAGAUUCCAGCAAGUACACGGACACUACAAGUCUUGAUUCUAAUCACAUGUUUGAAUGAGUUUGCUUUUUACCACAAGUCCUCUCUGUUUGUUCACGGACACAAGUAUUCAUUGUAACCACAUGUUUCACUUUGCUUCUUAACCAUGUAUAUGUUUUGUGUAGUCCACUAUAAAUAUGACCAUGUAAUAUCACUUUGUAAUAUCAAUUGUCCAGACUCUUUCCCUC